rnacentral:rRNA from 1 species
CAUGGUAUACAGAGCAGGCUCUUCCGAUUGCAUCUAGCUCGUGCCUCCUACCUCUCGACACCUACCUAUCUCCUUCGUCCCCAACCUACGCUUCUUUCCUCGCCGCCACCCAUCCCCUCCACCAUGUCUUCCUCCAAUGCUGCCGUCUCCUCCACCCUCAAUUACAACACCUAUGAACCCCUUACCAGGACGAACUACGUUCUCUGGAAAGCUCAAACCCGAUCCCAGAUACUGGGCGCUGGCCUCUAUGGCUACAUCGACGGCACCACCGUCGAGCCUCCCAAAACCCUCACCACCAAAGACAAAGACGGCAAAGAUCAGGUCAUCCCCAAUCCUGCCCAUAACACCUGGCUCGUUCAGGAUCAACAGAUCAUUGCAUACCUCUUGCGCAAUCUGUCCAAGGAAGUUCUCAUCCAAGUUGCCUCCCUUGAGUCCUCCCACGCCAUCUGGACUGCCUUGGCCACCAUGUUCUCCGUUGUCUCGUUGUCUCGUGCCAACAAUCUUCGCGCUGCACUCACCAAUGCUCAGAAGGGCUCCCUGUCCGCCUCUGCCUACUUUGGCCAGAUGUGCUCUCUCUCCGAUGAGCUCACCGCGGCGGGCAAACCCCUUGGAGACGGGGAACUCAUCUCUUUCAUUGUCGCCAGACUUGACAUGGACUAUCAACCCAUCAUCUCCGCUCUCAACGUCCGCACCGAGCCCAUCACCGUCGACGGCCUCUUCUCCCUCGUGUCAAACUUCGAUCAG